rnacentral:rRNA from 1 species
ACGUAGGGGGCAAGCGUUAUCCGGAUUUACUGGGUGUAAAGGGAGCGUAGACGGCACGGCAAGUCUGAUGUGAAAGGCGGGGGCUCAACCCCUGGACUGCAUUGGAAACUGUCGUGCUGGAGUGCCGGAGAGGUAAGCGGAAUUCCUAGUGUAGCGGUGAAAUGCGUAGAUAUUAGGAGGAACACCAGUGGCGAAGGCGGCUUACUGGACGGUAACUGACGUUGAGGCUCGAAAGCGUGGGGAGCAAACAGG